AGGCAUAAUAUAAAAUGUGUUUAGUUGUGUGGUCCCACUGAUUAAUUUUCUUUGUCAUCACUUGAUAGGAAGAAAAUUGCUUCGAAGCAUGAAAAACUAAGAAUAGGCAGAUCUAGCGUCCUCCCUGUCAUCAUUAAAUCAGGGAAAAAACAACAAUUAACACAGGCAAAGGAAAAGGAAGCAAGUGCUGUUGUUCACAAUAUGAAACAAGACUGUGAAAAAACCAGUGUCAACUUGGGUCAGAUUAAUUCCUGUGCAUAUGGAAGGACUCCUAAGGGAGAUGUGUGUCAUUCAGUAUGCAAAGGAAAAACAGAUCAAAACCCAUCAAGUGAGACAGACUGUAUUCAAGUAUCCUUGUCUUCCCAAGUAGAUUCAUUUUCUCAGUCUCAACUGACGGCUCAAGAGAGCAAUCAUCUGGGAUCUAGCAAAGUCUUCCGUCAGAAAUUCAAUAGCAGUGUUAGUUCACUCCCUCAUCUGGAAGGCCAAACGAAGCACAAUUUCAUUGUAAACGCCACCAGACCUCAUCCACAAGACAG
rnacentral:lncRNA from 1 species